rnacentral:rRNA from 1 species
UACGUAGGGGGCAAGCGUUGUCCGGAUUUAUUGGGCGUAAAGAGCGUGUAGGCGGCCUGGUAGGUCAGCUGUGAAAACUCGAGGCUCAACCUCGAGACGCCGGUUGAAACCAUCAGGCUAGAGUCCGGAAGAGGAGAGUGGAAUUCCCGGUGUAGCGGUGAAAUGCGCAGAUAUCGGGAAGAACACCCGUGGCUAAGGCGGCUCUCUAGUACGGUACUGGACGCUGAGACGGCGAAAAGCGUGGGGAGCGAACAGG